UACGAAGGGGGCUAGCGUUGCUCGGAAUUACUGGGCGUAAAGGGCGCGUAGGCGGACAGUUUAGUCAGAGGUGAAAGCCCAGGGCUCAACCUUGGAAUUGCCUUUGAUACUGGCUGUCUUGAGUUCGGGAGAGGUGAGUGGAAUGCCGAGUGUAGAGGUGAAAUUCGUAGAUAUUAGGAAGAACACCAGUGGCGAAGGCGGCUCACUGGCCCGGUACUGACGCUCAUGUGCGAAAGCGUGGGGAGCAAACAGG
rnacentral:rRNA from 1 species